AGAAUUUCUUUUGAUUGUUUAACACCAUGUUUUAGUAAUUAUAAAGAACUUACAAGACACAUCCAGGUGCAACCAACCUGCAACACCAAACAUGAAUACUAACAUAGUUGCAAGCAUGUUCUCAUCAACACUUUCACCUACAUUUCAAGCUAUCACAAAUAUUUGAGUCAAUGUUUUUGGACUGAAUUUUCUUCAAUUUCUAAACAUCGCGUUUCUUUCGUUCCAAACUAUCAAAAAAUGCAGGCUGAAAUUGUAUUUCAUACAUAUCUAAGGUGUUCUAUUAUUUAUUGUUCAUUCAGUUCAUGAUAAAUUUCUUUAAGAGUUUUAGACGUCACCCAUUCGAAUCAAAAUAAUGAUAGUAUUACAUGCACUUGAAUUCAUAUAGCUGACACAUAUUCAGUCACUUCACUGGAUGAUGACUUCAGCUUCCUUUUAAGGAAAAUGUAUCAUCUUACACAUCAAUUCCAACCAUGUUUUUGCUUGAGUUAGUAACUGCGAUCUACUCCAAUAGUUUAAUGUUGAAGAUAUUGUAUUCUUUCAAAUCUGCCUCCAACUUCAAGUUCCAGAUGUGUUAAUUCUUUCUGAUAAGAAAAGAAACCAUUACAAUAUUCAUAAAUAAAAAAAACUUGAAGAUAUAUCUUAAUUAGACACUUGUUUAGUAUCCACAUUUUACUCUUUAAAAUAAUAUUAAUAAGAUGGAGAGAAAAUUUGAUAAGCUCCAUUAAACAAAAAUAAUUACUCUACAAUAAGAUCACAAAGUUAAGAUGAAUUAAUGUGAAGACAAUAAAGUGUGCACUUUAAACUGAUUGUUCAUCUUUAGAAAGGCCCUUCUCAUCAUACUUGAAUACUUAGCUCAAGAAGACAGUAAAAGAAGGAAUUUGUGGCCACUAUAGAGUAACUUAAUAACUAUUCUUUGAUCAGACUAACCUAAAGCACUUAGUAGCUCAUUUCUAAGAUAAAGGACAAAGAGGUCAAAUCACAAAUUCCACAGACUCUAACGGGUUUCAUGUCGUUUACUAAUGAAAAACUAUUUUGAGGUCCAUUUUUUGGAAAACUGUUGAAGAGAAACCAUUAAGAACCUUCUUUGUAGCACAUUGCAUGAAUAUAUAUCCAAGUCUCGAAGCAUUGCCUUUCCAGAUUUAAUGUUGGUCCUCUUCCUCCCUUUAUUUGCUUAGGCUCUACAACAGCCCUCAGAUAGAGGAAAUGGUAAAUGAACUCUUUGUUCUUCCUCAAAAUUGUUUGGUAUAGUCUCUAAUUAAUAGAUGAAUUGACCAAUCCAUGUUUAUCAAGAUAGAUCGAUAGUAGAAAAGAUCAUUAGUCUCAACAAUUUCUAUUGAAGUACCAACAUUUCAAUUUUCAUUAAAUUUCCGAGUAAUCAAUAUACUUUUCAAGGCUUAAAUACAUAUUUACAUGAUGAUAAAUAUGAGGAAAAUGACUUUUUUAUGAGAUCUGUUUGUGUAGAUAUCGAUAUGGAUGUGAUUUUUUUUUUUUAGAAGUAAUUGAAUUAUUUUGAUGGCAAGAUGAGUGAACUGAAAAGAACUAAAACAUGAUAUCUCUCUCAAACCUCCCUCACAAUGUGAGUCCAUCAUGAGAGCUAAGGGUUAAUUGGCGAGGACAUGGGCCUUGUCACGGGGCAACACGAGAUAGGAUCUAGGCAAGAUAUGACACUUAUUUGAACAUGAUUAAACUAACACUUUAAGAAUGAAUCUAUUUUCAGGCUCAAUCACCAUCCUCCAUGUCCUGAUAUUCAAGAAUUCAAUGCCUAAAAAUUGUUUGGAAUUGGAGAAAAUACCGAUCCAUUAAUCAUAUCGGUAUUAAGAUCCAACAACAUUUCUGGCCUUCAAAUUUUACUCAAAAAUGGCCCACGUGAUCUUAGCUUAGCGUGCUAGCCGCUGCUUCAUUUCGUAUAUAAUAUGCCUUACUUGAAAUGUUGAAAAAGUAUCUUGAAUAGGAAAACAAGUGGACACACCUGCAAGGAAACCCAUCUCGAAACCAGCGAGUUGCCUAAACCCUCCCUUGUUGUCUUGCUUGCUUUCGGAUAAGAAAGACUAGUCACUUUAACCUACCUUCCUAGCUUUAGUUGCCUUAAGGCCUGUCUUUCUUUCAGAACCCUGAAGCGAGAGAGAGCUUCUCGGUAGAGGUAGUCAAGCUAAGAGCUAGAGGAUUUGAUUGAGUAUCGAGGAGUCAAGGAAUUUAGGCCAAAAUACCAUUAACCGGCUCCUUCUUCUUUGUCAACGCUACUAAGGACCUAUAGGUUUUGCCUAUUUUACUUAUUAAAGAUAAUGAGAAUGGGUUAUUCAAACAAAAGGAAAAGGCGUUUAUUCUCUCCGUCUGAGCUUUUCAAAGAUAUGCCGACCUACGGCAUCUGAUGGUCAGAUUGCCGUAGGUUGUCUUCUAACAUUACCGACAUUUCGGGUUUUCAUAAAUUUCUAAAAAAUAAAGCGAAGCAAAGUGCAUGGCAAAGAAGCAACCAGCUGACUGCACCCUUCCACUCGACCUUUCUUCGCCCCACUGGCACUAGCCUAACGCCCUGCCUACUCGUCUUUAACUGGCUUAUUUGUACCCAGCUACAUGAUGGAAGUCCCCUCGGCCAAUCGUCACUCGACAGCUCAAAGCUGACCGGUACAACCCGCACAAGGGCUACGGGAACGAGUGUUGUGCUUUCCCCGAUCGAUACCACCAUUCAUUACCGUGAACCAGCCCCUCUUCAGUAUAGGCAAGUAUUUCUUUAUAACUUCUUCCUGUAUAGCAUCUUUACAGCAAGAAUGAUUGGAGGCUUCAACAAAUGAUUCAGGUUCAUGAUUUCUCUCUCACCAUCAAACACCAACUCAUUUGGAAAGAGUCGUAUCUCCUUAGGUGUUAAUUCCUUCUGGAGAUAAUCUAUUAUCUUUCCCUUAAAAAAAAGGAUUGAGAGGUUUAAAUCUCUCAAUGGAUUAACGAAAAUGUGCAAAAGCUCUAUUUGCCUCUGCCAUUCUAUGAGUCUCUUCCUUUUUGCGUAUGGCAUCGCCGGCCAAAGGACGAGAAUCAAGCAUGUCUGCAUGAGCCAAGAGAUCUAGGCAUAUUUCUGCUGACGAAGGAUAAGAGUGCGCCCCUGCCGAUACACUUCCAUACCAAGAAAGUAGUGGAGAAGGCGCAAAGAGCGUUUGAAGUGGUAUAUAGGCGCCAACCACCCCUAGUUAGGUCCUAUACUCAUUAGUCUGGGCGGUUAGAGCCUUGAUUAUGAAUAAGCCGUGAAUAUGAAUAGUCAGGAGCGAGGUUACGAGCUGGCAGAGACAGAAAAUCUGGGCACUGGUGACUAGUUGAAGGUGUGCUCAUUCCCCGAGAAAGGAAAGGGAUAGAAAGGUGGCUAGAGGUCGAAGAAGCUCCAACCUCGGCGAUCUAAGUGAGGCGAUGCCUUUGAAGUAGCGGACCUAUAGGUGUGACUGAACUCGCCGAUCAGGCGUAUACUGAUGAAAAUAAGAUUCUUAUGAGAGAAAGAGAUUAAGUAAGGCAAGUUUCUGACCAUUAAUUCUGUAACAAAUCAGUAAACGACUUCUCCGUCACUUGUUCUUAUUCUUAAACCCUUCGUGCCCCAUAGCUGUCGUAGUUAGAUAUCAAAGUUCUCCCUCUUAAUGAUAAUUACUUUCCUGGGCGUUGUGCAAGUUUUGUAAGGGUAUAGUUUAUUUAAUUGAGUGAAAUUAGGCCAGUAGUCUUUCUGAAUGUGAUAGCUAAGAACUGUGAUUCUUCGCUCGAUCAAUUCUUGCCACUUCUCACCCCGAGGGAGGCGGGAAGCUACCGCUUCUAGAAUGGAAGCUUCUCCUUUACUUUUUUAGAGCGUAUCGCUACUACUUCAGUCGUAUGCUUAACACAUGCAAGUUGAUCAGUUCGCCCUUUAGAAAUAGGCUAAGAAAGUCAUCGGUUCGAAUCCGAGAAAGGGCUUUUUUUUUCGAUAUGCCGCUCCUCCAGCAAGGAGCGAGAGAACCUCAUCAAGUUCCCAUUGAAAUAGGAUCCACACAAGGAAAAACACUUGCCAUUCCUCAGUCCCUCUUCCCGAAAGACUUCCUUUUUAGCUUCGGCAGAUCGCUUAGCCCCAUUCCUCUUCGGCGCAAGAGACAUAUGUUGCAACGUCUCCAAUAGCAUGCUCUUACAUCUUCUUUCCCUUAAGUUACUAUGUUUAUUUUGUACACAUUUAUUAAUUCAUUGAUAUUUAUUAAUGCAUCAAAGAUGGUACAACAGUACAUGCAUGAGGAAAAUGCAUCAAAAUGAGUGUUUUCCAUGGAAAGUAAGAGAAAUUUGCAGUACUACUAUUACUUGUCCUUUGUUGUUGUUGUCCUCGUCAUCAUUAUCAUCAUGACCUCAAAAAUGCCUUUAAGAAUUUUCGUCUGCAUAAUCCACUUUCCUGCCAGUUUAAUGGAUGAGGAAAGGAGAAGGAACGCCCCUUUAUAACUUAGUAUAGACUUCGGCUUAAGGACUAUAGUUUAGCUGAUACAAUUUCGAAGAAGUUAGUAUAUUAGUUAAUUGCCUAAUUCUUGCUCCCAAUCAAGAUUACUAUUACCUAAAAAAAGAGAUUAAAUGAUAUUCUAAGCUCUUUUAUGAGAUGGUACCUUUAGGCUUUAACCAAACCGAUAAACAGCAAAGUCAAAAGUUGAGGAAACAUAUGUGGUCGCUAAGGCUUACGAACUCUAAGGAUUGGAAGCAAUGCUUAGCCAACACAAGUUUCUUUUGUCUACAUCCACUUCGAGGAACUGACAGUAACUCAAGUAGUAACGCAAGGCCAUUGACUCAUCCCCUCAAAAGGUAAGUUUCAUAUGCUAUCUCCAUUCUUUUCUUUCUCUUAAGUACUUGUCUUAUGCCCCUAGUAUCAAAAGAUUUGUUUUUCCUUUCCACAUUUACAGUGUGAAAAGAUGCAAUACUUCCUCGAGAUCUAAAAUAUAAACAUCUUCGAGCAAAAAUCAGGGCAUUGACUCAAUAUCUUGAAACAUAGAUUAAAUAAAGAUUCAUGAAACAAUAGAAGAUUCAACCUAAGAUAAAAAAGAAAUGAAAACUACAAAGCAGGAAUCUAGAUUAAAUCGACUAAGCAUAUAAAGCAAUAAAUAGAGAAAGAAAAAUAAGAAGAGAGGUGAUUACCUUUUUGAGGGUAGCGUCUUGGAACAACGAGCUUAGAAGCUAACACCACCGGCGAGCUCUAGUAUGCCCCAACGAACCAAAAGAGAUUUUGUAGGCAUUUCAGACGGCUGGACUACAUAGUUUACUGAUCUAAAAACAAUGAAAAUUUAUGCAUGGAAGAAAUAGAUAUAUCAUAGUAAUUUAUAACUCAUAGUUAAAGUGAAAAUCAUUAUGAUCCGUAAAUAAUAUUAUGAUAUAUAUAUAUAUAUUUUGAUACCUGAUAUUGUGAGGCAUAGACAAGGGGCAAAGCAAAGAAUAAAUCUUGUCUUUGUUUAUUUAAAACACAACAAAUGCCAAAUUCCGUUCAACUAUUUCAAGAUUUUUCAUUCAAUUCUCAUAUUGAGUUGUAUACUUCAAGUUGUCUAAUUGUUGUCAUUGUCUUUCUGCUUCUAUAUAUCAACCAAUUCGCUUAAGCCUUUCACUUCAUUGUUCAUAUAUAAAUGUGCACUUCUACACUAACUUUUUUCAAGACAAAGGAGAAAGGAACUGAUGGAGAAUCAAGAGACUUGUAGUAAAAAAUGCUAUUUGUCACUGAUGAAGACAGACAACUUAUGAGUAAAAUGGAAAUUUCCAGAGUAGAUGGGCUUCAAUGCGGGUCCCGAACAUCAAAUAGAAAAAAAAAAUGAAUUCAGAUACUAUCCGUUGUUGCUUGCUUUAGUUGGCAGCCAUUCUAGAAAGACAUUGGACUACCUGAAUAGAAGAGGAUCCGUACCACCACAAGUGUUAUGUAUCAAAAAGAUGCAGAAGAUAUAUGACACCUUCUACUCCAAUGUUAAGUAGUUAGAGACACAGUUGGGGCUUGGAGUGUAUAUGGCAAAAAAAGAAACACAUAUGCUCUGAUGGAGUUCUGCCUCCUAAUCACUCCUUGAAAUUUAGGUAUUUAAAUAACUUUUUGGGCAGGUGCAAUUAACACAAUGUGAAUAACUUCUUUUUUUACCAAUCCAACAGCCAGGGCUCUCACCUUCCGUUGUGAUGGAUCAUUUGACAUAGAUCCCUAUCUUAUUUAUUAAUAAGUAAAAUAUUACAAGGGGCGAAGGAACAAGAAACCUCUAGAGCAAACAAACAAACAAACAUAUUCUUAAAUCUAUAAACGAAAUUACGCAAAUCACAUGUAAAUUUGCUCCACAAAUGUGCUAAGCUUUCCAAAGCAGAGUACUCACUAUAAAAAAUUUAAACAGCCUUGGCAAGAAUAGGUAGAAACUUUUACAAAUAGAUCACCUACUUACAAAGUGUCUUUUGAUGGUUUUAUGCCCCAAAUAUGCAUUUGAAUUAUAGCAAGAGAAUAUAAACCAAAAUCAUACUUGGGUAGAUUAAUUAAUAACGGCAAAAAAUUAUAGCAUACUGUAUCCUCGUGACUCAUUUAACAAGAAUACUCGCAACAUAUAACUGUUGAGGAGUUAUAUAUGUAAAUCAAUGCUACAUGUUCCGGUGGUGGAUAUCUGUGGCAUAGAAGUUGAAGAUCGGUGUAAGAAGAUUGCUGAGGCUUUUUCCAAUUGAUAAAUGAUGGGGUUCCUUCAAGUGUUUUGGAAGGAAUGAUCGAAGGGACUCGUAAAUUUCAUGAACAAGAUGUUGAAGUGAAGUAAGGGUGCUAUUCAUGAAACAAACAAGCUAGGAAUGAUAACAAUUUUCAUUUGUACAAAACAAAAGGAAGGACUAUAUAAUGGAAGGAUGCAGUAUACAUGUUUGAGCUAGAUUUCAACAUAUAGAAGUUAAGAAAUAGAUUCAAUUUCAUAUACUUUCAAGCAUCCUUAAUCUGAAAACAACUUAUGCGAGUCUAAAAAAAAUGCAGCGGGAAGAGCUAUUAAAAUAUAUAAUCACUAUAUUUCAAUUCGAAAUAAGUGAUGUGUAAUCACAAGGACAUAAAUAUCAAUGCAUGGAUCAAAUAAAUGAGAAGAUUCUAACUCUCAAGGCUUUCUAUUCGACUCUUGAGUCUUUUCGAUCCAUAAAAUUAGUUCAUUUUGGU
rnacentral:lncRNA from 1 species